rnacentral:lncRNA from 1 species
CUUUGACAUCAGCACAGCUUUGAAAGGGGGAUGGGAGAGCGAGCAGAAAGCAGAAAAACCAGCUUUGAACUAUGCAUGCAAGGCCUCUUUCAAGCCUCAAAUUCUACAGAUCAAAGAUACCUAACAUUCAGCUAUGUUCAAAGGCUGCCAGGGAACUUCUGCUUGCCAACAGCAAGGACACAGGGACAGGCACUUGUUGCUGUGUGAGCGAGGCCUGGGAGUGAUUAAAGAGGAUGGACGAGCUUGUCCACAGGGAAGCUCAGCGUAGGUGAGUGGAGUAGAUGAAGUGAAAUCCACCCAGAG